UACGGAGGUCUCAAGCGUUGUUCGGAUUUACUGGGCGUAAAGGGCGCGUAGGCGGCGCGGUAAGUCACUUGUGAAAUCUCUGAGCUUAACUCAGAACGGCCAAGUGAUACUGCAGUGCUAGAGUGUGGAAGGGGCAAUCGGAAUUCUUGGUGUAGCGGUGAAAUGCGUAGAUAUCAAGAGGAACACCUGAGGUGAAGACGGGUUGCUGGGCCAACACUGACGCUGAUGCGCGAAAGCCAGGGGAGCAAACGGG
rnacentral:rRNA from 1 species